rnacentral:rRNA from 1 species
GACAGAGGUGCCAAGCGUUAGGCGGAAUCACUGGGCUUAAAGCGUGUGUAGGCGGGUCGUUAAGUACCUUGUGAAAUCCCCCGGCUCAACCGGGGAACGGCUGGGUAUACUGGCGAUCUUGAGCCACCUAGGGGCAGUCGGAACAAGUGGUGGAGCGGUGAAAUGCGUAGAUAUCACUUGGAACGCCAAUGGUGAAAACAGACUGCUGGGGUGUGCUGACGCUGGAGACACGAAAGCCAGGGAGCAAACGGGAUUAGAACCGUACGUAGU